rnacentral:lncRNA from 1 species
GUCCCAGCUCCCAGCCUGGCCUCAGAAAAUUCUCCAUCAAGAAAACUCCAGUUUGUGCUGUUGCACAUUAAAACAAAUCCCAGACUCAGCUCUGUACCUGGCGAGGGUAUGGGUGGCAUCCUCGCCACACUAAGGCCUCAUCUGAGCCCGUGAGGAGGAGUGACCACCCCAUCCUCCUGCUGCCCUGGCCCGAGUUGCCUACCGACAGACCUUCACUGACAUAAUGGAUUGAAACUCGGCUGACACAGGAGCCAGGGUAACCUUUUCCUCUGCUAAGCAGCUCCUCCCAGGUGUGUUGUCAGAGCCAAGAGCUUGUGAGCAAGGGCAGUGUCCACUCUGGUGUCCCUGUCCCCACGUGCUCUCCUCUGGAUUUCAUUUCAAUAGACACUUGUCUGAAAGGCCACAAACCCCAGGAACUGUGGUUUUCAGUUUUUGGCUUUGGUUGCCAUGGCUCCCAUGCUCCAGACAGUUCUGGUUAUUUCCAGUGUUUUAGUACCUGAAUCGACAUGGACCAAGUGAGCCCCCGUAUUCCUUCAGCUGCAGCAGGCUUCACUCAUUA